CGCGUAGGCGGUUAUGUAAGUCAGAUGUGAAAUACUCCGGCUCAACCAGAGAACUGCAUCUGAAACUGUGUAGCUAGAGUACAGGAGAGGGAAACGGAAUUCCCGGUGUAGAGGUGAAAUUCGUAGAUAUCGGGAGGAACACCAGUGGCGAAGGCGGUUUCCUGGCCUGAUACUGACGCUGAGGCGCGAAAGCGUGGGGAGCAAACAG
rnacentral:rRNA from 1 species